rnacentral:lncRNA from 1 species
GGCCGGCCUCCUGCCGCCGCGGGCUGAGUGCGGGGCGGGGGCACGCUGCCCUUCUCGGGUUUGGGUCGUGGGUGAGGAGCUUGGGGAGGUCGGGGUACUGCCGCGGGAGCUCCGAUUUUCCGGACUGUGCGGACACGGCCAGCGGGAACCGCUUCCUGGGAGCCGGCCGUGGCCGUGCGGGCGUCCAGCCGCCCGCGGAAACGUUCACGGGCGGACUGCAGUCGGCUGCCGCCUAGUAAACGCCGUGAGGUCUGCGCUCCUUGCCGUCCCGCUGUAAUGCGGUGCUUCCGUCUCCAUCUCGAGGCCACAUCUAGACUGCCGCGUGCCCCUCACUACAAGAAAGACGUUGAGUGUGUCCAGAGAAGGGCAGCGGAGCCGUGAGGGGUCUGGAGCACAAGUCUUAUGGGGAGCAGCUGAGGGAACUGGGGUUGUUCAGUCUGGAGGAGGCUCAGGGCAGACCUUAUCACUCUCUUUACCAGCCUGAAGGGAAAUUGUGGAGAGGUGACGUCGGCCUCUUCUCCCAGAUUCCAGGCACCGAAGAAAAAUGCUUCAUGGAGAUUAAACAACAGCUGCUGUUUUCAGCCCUUUGUGAUCUGCAGCCCUCAAACUUCUCCACUUCAGCUCCAGACUCCAGUGGUGCAGUUGUCAGCGGGUGUCAAUGCUCUCGCUUCUCAGAGUUGCAUGUCCCCUUGAAGCCACUCACCAAUUCAGAGGUCCACAGCUCUCUGUCUGGAACCACUGGGCUCACUGACAGCAGAAAAGAGAUUUUUCUAAAGAACUGAGCCACAGCUCUGCAGAUUCUCUGUACUGGUAGUCGGCCGUGUUUGGGAAAUACCUCCCAGCUGCGCUGAAACAAGGAGCAAGUUACAGCCUUGGUCAGCGCCCAGAAGCAGGCUGAAGCACCCAGCACACUGCUCGCAGGCACAGGGUCAGCUGUGAAAGGACCUUCAGCAUCCACCCCCGUUCGCUAGAACUUCCAGGCCUUCAUGUAGAGUGAAGCUGUAUUUCAUAGCAGUACAACCGUUUGAGUUGGUAGGGAUCCUUAAAGCUUAUCCAGUCCAACCCCCCUGCAAUGAACAGGGACAACUACAGCUAGAACAGGUUGCUCAGAUCCCCAUCCAGCCUGACCUUGGAAGUCUCCAAAGACAUCCCCUAUAUAUUUCUGGUCAGCCUGUGCCAGUGCCUCACCACCCUUAUAGUAAAAACCUUUUUCCUUACAUCCACUCUAAAUCUUCCCUCUUUUAGUUUGAAACCAUUUCCCCUUGUCCCUUCCCUUUGUAUUUCCUGCUCUGUAGAGCCAAGUCCCCAGCACAGACCAGGCAGACAGCAAUCCUCCUCUACUAAAGUCUGGAGGGAUCGUGCUUGAUAUAUCAUAUUAAUUUCAGGAUACUUCAGUGUUUAAACAACGUAGAUCUAGUGGAGACAGAUUAAGAAAUGAACAACAGAAAUCCUUAAAGGUUCAAAGCUGACUUGUGAGCUCAGGUUGGAUGCAUUUGAUGUAUGAGUAACUUGGCUGAACGUGACAAGUGGAGUACAAAAUAGCUGCCUACAAAUAUCAGUGUGUUGAACAGGAAGAAAGACGACAAAUGCAUUUACUGCAUUUAAAAAGUAAUGCAGUAAAAGCAGAAGGAGAGGUGUUUUUAUCAAAAAUUGAAGGCUAGAUUAAAUAGUAAGCAGAUCCUGCUGCCCACGUGUUUUUUUCACUGUGCACAACAAUGUACUGAGGGACCAGAGUCAUUUUAGAAAUAGUAAAAGAUGGAUCAUUCCCUCUAAUGUAAUUUGGGGAUUAGAAAGAUUAGAUAACUAAAUAAAUGCCUCCUGUGCCUAGCUAAUGGCUUCCUUCACUAUGAGAAAUCCCCUACAGGAGGGGAUUUUUGAAGAUGCUUUGAAAGGCCUCCGCAAAGUUUUUCUCAUCAGACGCCCUCCCAGACAUUGUCCUGUUGGAAAGGGGCCAUGUUUGCUUCUCACUUGCAGAAAAUCCACUUCAAAUUUGGCAGAAACAGGAGGGCCCGAAGGGAAAUCGCAGUCAUUCACAAGGAGCUCCCAACUCCUGGCAGCAUGCCUCCAUUGAAACCACUCUGCAGAGACCCUUCCCUCUAGACAUAUCAGCUCCUGGGAAUCUGCAAACAUAAUUCUUACGCUUAGAUCUAUUAAAAAAAUCCAAACACAAGACACGUGUGUGUCUGUAAGGAUCCAGGAGGUGGCAAAGGUACUCUACACCAAAGGUCUUCUACACCAAGGACAGUUGUGGAAGUGCUGGAGCAUUCUCAGCUAUGUUUCCAGUGUCCUUAAUGGCGGGAUUGCAGAAGCCAGCUCAUGUUUAUGGGGCCACGUGUUUUUUGUCUUCCCAUCUAUUCUGGUAAAAUAACAAAAUGUAUGACCUGUAAUUACACGCUUUGUUUAUUAUCUCUGAUUAAAUUGAUGCCUGUGCAAUAAUGAAGAUAUAAGAAGUUAUAAUAUUCUCCCAGGAGUAAGUGCAAUUAAGCUACAGGCAUCACUGUAAAAACAGAUUAGACGUCUUGACUCAUGGUUUCGUGCAAUAGUAUUUCAGGACUUUUUCCCUGUCAACAACAUUAUAAUAAACAUGUUUAUAUUUCAACCAGCCAAACUCAGUUCUUUUCUCAGCUCUUUUACUGAACUACUUAGGAGAGAAAGUAGUUCAGUUGUCCCACCUAUUUUUGUUGCUGAUUCUGCUUCUUGUUUUACUUCCAGCAUCGCUCCGUGACUUCCAGUUGCAAUUUCUGCAAUUUAGGACUGACAAACCUCUUCUGGGAAGCAGAUGAUUGAGGGGAAACCCAGGCAGGGGUUUUCAAGUCACACUUUUCUGCGAAGGAUGGCACAGGGAUGUGACCGUAUCUUGCCCUGCCAAUCCCUUGACCAACUCCACAGUGAGAUGGGUCUCACCUGCUUUCCUCCCCAUCUGCAGUAGGUGCAGAGGUCUCUUCACCACAGCUUGCCAAACCAUUGGUAAAUGACCCCUGGAAGCCAGGAACAGAGGCAGUCAUUGGUGUGGAGAAAAG